CAUUAGAUGGCUGAAAGUAAGCUCAGGUCUCUUAAACCUUGAAAUAGUAACUUAACACUUACUUCUAAUGA
rnacentral:tRNA from 1 species